rnacentral:rRNA from 1 species
UGGGGAAUAUUGGACAAUGGGGGGAACCCUGAUCCAGCCAUGCCGCGUGUGUGAAGAAGGCCUUAUGGUUGUAAAGCACUUUAAGCGAGGAGGAGGGUACUGGUAUUAAUACUACCAGGUACUGGACGUUACUCGCAGAAUAAGCACCGGCUAACUCUGUGCCAGCAGCCGCGGUAAUACAGAGGGUGCGAGCGUUAAUCGGAUUUACUGGGCGUAAAGCGUGCGUAGGCGGCUAAUUGAGUCGGAUGUGAAAUCCCCGAGCUUAACUUGGGAAUUGCAUUCGAUACUGGUUAGAUAGAGUGUGGGAGAGGAUGGUAGAAUUCCAGGUGUAGCGGUGAAAUGCGUAGAGAUCUGGGGGAAUACCGAUGGCGAAGGCAGCCAUCUGGCCUAACGCUGACGCUGAGGUACGAAAGCAUGGGGAGCAAACAGG